rnacentral:tmRNA from 1 species
GGGGGCGACCGGUUUCGACGGGGUAAAAACGCUGUUGAACUGCAUGUCGAGGACCCGGGCAACUCGUUAAUCACCCGGAAAACACAAUAAGUGCCAAUUACGGCCAAGUUGCUUACGCUUAACUGACGUAAGUCGUCCCGAGUAAAAUUUGCCUGUAGUUUUACUCAGGGGCGUCAUCUUUACAGGCUGGUUCAGCAGAGUGCUCAUAUCUACUGAAUGAGAACGCAUGAGCUGGUUCCGGUAUUUGGGGUAACUGGCAGAUACCGGAAUGAGAACAAUCCAGUGAACUAAACAUGUAGACGUUCUUCGGGGUUUUAUUUCGGACGGGAGUUCAAAUCUCCCCGCCUCCACAA